rnacentral:rRNA from 1 species
GAUGAACGCUGGCGGCGUGCCUAAUACAUGCAAGUCGAGCGAACAGACGAGGAGCUUGCUCCUCUGACGUUAGCGGCGGACGGGUGAGUAACACGUGGAUAACCUACCUAUAAGACUGGGAUAACUUCGGGAAACCGGAGCUAAUACCGGAUAAUAUAUUGAACCGAAUGGUUCAAUAGUGAAAGACGGUUUUGCUGUCACUUAUAGAUGGAUCCGCGCCGCAUUAGCUAGUUGGUAAGGUAACGGCUUACCAAGGCAACGAUGCGUAGCCGACCUGAGAGGGUCAUCUGCCACACUGGAACUGAGACACGGUCCAGACUCCUACGGGAGGCAGCAGUCGGCAAUCUUCCGCAAAGGCCGAAAGCCUGACGUAGCAACGCCGCGGGAGUUACGACGGUCUUCGGAUCGGAAAACUCUGUUAUUAGGGAAGAACAAAUGUGGAAGUAACUAUGCACUUUCUGACGGUACCUAAUCAGAAAGCCACGGAUAACUCCGUG